GUGCUCGCUUCAGCAGCACAUAACCUAAAAUUGGAACGGUACAGAGUAUGUGAGCAUGGCCACUGCACAAGGAUGACAGGCAAAUUCGUGAAGCAUUCCAUAUUUUU